CCCUCCUACAGAGGGGCGUCCAUGGUUCCCUGCGUCUGGACGUGUAAGAACCGGAGGCGAAGAUGUGUGGACUUGGGGAAGUCCGGAGUGGCCUGCUCCCUGCAGGCUCGACAUCAGCCGUCCCACACAG